CCUACGGGAGGCAGCAGUGGGGGAUAUUGCACAAUGGGGGAAACCCUGAUGCAGCGACGCCGCGUGUGGGAAGACGGUCCUCUGGAUUGUAAACCACUGUCCCCAGGGACGAAGAUGACGGUACCUGGGGAGGAAGCUCCGGCUAACUACGUGCCAGCAGCCGCGGUAAUACGUAGGGAGCGAGCGUUGUCCGGAAUUACUGGGUGAAAAGGGAGCGUAGGCGGGACUGCAAGUUGGGUGUCAAAUCUACCGGCUCAACCGGUAGCCGCACUCAAAACUGCAGUUCUUGAGUGAAGUAGAGGCAGGCGGAAUUCCUAGUGUAGCGGUGAAAUGCGUAGAUAUUAGGAGGAACACCAGUGGCGAAGGCGGCCUGCUGGGCUUUGACUGACGCUGAGGCUCGAAAGUGUGGGGAGCAAACAGGAUUAGAUACCCGGGUAGUC
rnacentral:rRNA from 1 species